rnacentral:lncRNA from 1 species
GUCGAAUUCUUUCUCCUGAGGAAGCAAGAGCUGAAGUUCCUGUGGGCUCCUGUGGAUGCCGCGGAAAACUCAGGGUAUCUCAGAUCUCUGCUGCCACUAACACUGAAGAGACCAUCAAGCUUCAGAUGAUCGUGCAACAAAGGUUCCAGCCAGUUCUAGGUGAAGACACCACUGCUGGCCAUGAAAGAGCUACCCUGCCUCCACUAGACAGAGCAGGGUGAGAGUUCCAUGAUCCCCAAUAGGUAGAGACUAUGCCCCAAGCCAGCAUGAGGCAGUUACAGAAAAAAUACCAUUGUUCCCUCUACUUCCUAUAAAGAUUUAUGGGGAUCACAUUUCUCAGGGGGAGAUGAGGCAGGAAAAUAGAGUAUGGGGACAGAGAACAUAAGGCCAAUUCACACUUCAGCUAUGACAGGAAAUAUCCUCUCCAUAGAGUGUAGGCCAAGUAACUAACUUUGUAACUUAGUCUCUCCAUUUACAUAGAGUGCACCCGAAGUAACCAAUGCAAUCCUCUAGAGGUUAUUUAAACUCCCCAAAAUUCUGUAAAGGGGCCCUUGAGCCCCUAUGCUCGGGCCGCUCCCACACUGUGGAGUGUACUUUCA